UAAGACCUGUGGAACACUAAACCACAUCUUCUGAAUGCA
rnacentral:tRNA from 1 species